AAACAGUAAACAGGGGAAUGAGUUGAAAUUGGUGACUCUUUCGAAAUUUCUCAUGGUUUGGAGAUUUCCUUGUCGGGGGCGCAAGCUUGAGAAAUUCCUUAGCAUUCGAAGCUCAACGGAUAAGCCAUACUAGGCGUUUAUUCGAAGAAAACGCAAGGAAGAAGAAGGAGCGCGUGCACUACACGCAAGGUGCGUGAGGAGCCGGGACUGGGCGUGCGACUAGGAGUUCUCCUGGCGCGUGGGACAAACACACCGAGAAUGUGAGGGCGCGUGAGACCUCAUUUCGACUUCGGGUUUGUCCCGUUCGAUUCGUUUUGACCUAUACUUACCUUGAAAAUAGUGACAUAUAGGUCUGAUUGGAGGAAAUUGUGUUGAAAUACCCUAUUAUUAAACGUACAUUCAACAGAGAAAGGGAUUCGAAACCAGGUAAGUAGCAUAUCGUUCUUUAAGCUAGUUCUUAACUUGUUGACAACAUGUGAGUAUGUUGUUUACCUGAUUAAAAGCUUAGUAUGUUAAAAUGAGUUUUGAUGAUGUUGAAUGUUUAUUGUAUAUCUUGAUUGCUUGUGAGGUAAGCAUGAUAUAAAUGAUUACUAGAAUGUUCUAUGUGGUGAACAUGAUAAAUGUUGAAAGCAUGCAGUAAAUGUGAGUAUGCAUGUUAAUGGAAAUGUUAUGACUCUAGGAUAUGCUUAUUGGUUGUUGAGCCAUGGCUUAUUUAUAUGAGUAUGAUAGUCUACUAAUUCCCACGGAGUCCAGACCAACGCAUUGUGUGCUAAGUCAGGGAGCAUGAGUACUCCUGACCGUUGGUAUAUGAGAUAAACAAGCCGCCAGAGGAAUUAGUAGACGGGCCGUAUUUGACUGAGAGCGAGUCUUACAUACGAGUCCGAAAAUUCUAGAUAAGCAUAUCGAGAGAGAGUCAGUAACCUAAGAUUGAGGUAGCUGAGAUACCUCAUUAAUGAACAGAUGACUCUAGUAAGAGAAACUAGGAGUCAAUGGCGAAUAAAACUUAAAAACACCUGGAAAGAUUAGUUAUGAACUCAUGAAAAAUAAGCUCCCUAUUACUCAUCAAAAUUAUUUUUAACUUUUCUUUCCAGAUUUAGUUGAUGUAGGCCAACCGAGGACGAGGACGAGACCAGCAGGCUAGAGACUAUUUGGGAAUCCAUGUCUGUGUCUGUUUUGUGUACUUAUGCUUUCGUUGUCAAGAAUUUACUUUGGUCGUUUUAAGUUUUAAAUAGUACUGGUUUUAAAUGUCUUUUU